CCUACGGGCGGCAGCAGUGGGGAAUAUUGGACAAUGGGGGGAACCCUGAUCCAGCCAUGCCGCGUGUGUGAAGAAGGCCCUCGGGUUGUAAAGCACUUUCAGUGAGGAAGAACGCCUGGUGGUUAAUACCCAUCAGGAAAGACAUCACUCACAGAAGAAGCACCGGCUAACUCCGUGCCAGCAGCCGCGGUAAUACGGAGGGUGCGAGCGUUAAUCGGAAUUACUGGGCGUAAAGCGCGCGUAGGUGGCUUGAUAAGCCGGUUGUGAAAGCCCCGGGCUCAACCUGGGAACGGCAUCCGGAACUGUCAAGCUAGAGUGCAGGAGAGGAAGGUAGAAUUCCCGGUGUAGCGGUGAAAUGCGUAGAGAUCGGGAGGAAUACCAGUGGCGAAGGCGGCCUUCUGGACUGACACUGACACUGAGGUGCGAAAGCGUGGGUAGCAAACAGGAUAGAUACCCCUGUAGUC
rnacentral:rRNA from 1 species